CAUGGGUGACAUCACGCGGUGGGAAGGCGAGGGGCUGGGGUCGGCGAGGGCUGCUGGAGGCCGCCUGUGGGCACAUUGCUGCGGGGUGACUCAGCCCGAGACGGGGAAGAAUGCCUCACAUUCUUUCGGGAGCACCCUCCCAUUUCUGUGACUCCUCUCAGCGACAGAUCUGAGAAAGUCUGGAAGAGCAAGCACAUGCAUCCCCACAGCCCUGGAGACCUGCAAGAAGAGCUUCGUGGUAGGGCUGGACCUGGGGAGCCUGUCCCGGUCUAGAGACAAACUGCCCACAUUCACUGUUGGCUGAAGAACAGACCAGUUGCCAAUGGGAGCGUCCAUAUGGCGGAGACCAGGACAGGGCCCCCAGCUGUCACAGAUGAAUGGAGACCACCUGGCUCAGUGGCCAACCUUAUGAACAUCACAGCCAGGCUGGCCUGGGGGCCAGUGAUGCUUGCUGGUCAGUGCCUAGGGACCAGGCUGGCCUUGAAGUCAGAGUGAUCCCCCUGCUUCUGCCUUCUGAGUGCUAAAAUUAAAGGCAUAUGCCACUAUGCCUGAAGCA